rnacentral:tRNA from 1 species
GUUAGGGUGGCAGAGCCCGGCAAUUGCAUAAAACUUAAGCUUUUACAGUCAGAGGUUCAAUUCCUCUCCCUAAC